rnacentral:rRNA from 1 species
UACGUAGGGUGCAAGCGUUGUCCGGAAUUAUUGGGCGUAAAGAGCUCGUAGGCGGUCUGUCGCGUCGGCUGUGAAAACCCGGAGCUCAACUCCGGGCCUGCAGUCGAUACGGGCAGACUGGAGUUCGGCAGGGGAGACUGGAAUUCCUGGUGUAGCGGUGAAAUGCGCAGAUAUCGGAAGGAACAUCAGUGGCGAAAGCGACUUCCUGGUCCAGCAUCGACGUUCAGGCACGAAAGCGUGGGGAGCAAACAGG